GAUGAACGCUGGCGGCGUGCCUAAUACAUGCAAGUCGAGCGAACAGACGAGGAGCUUGCUCCUCUGACGUUAGCGGCGGACGGGUGAGUAACACGUGGAUAACCUACCUAUAAGACUGGGGUAACUUCGGGGAACCGGAGCUAAUACCGGAUAAUAUAUUGAACCGCAUGGUUCAAUAGUGAAAGACGGUUUUGCUGUCACUUAUAGAUGGAUCCGCGCCGCAUUAGCUAGUUGGUAAGGUAACGGCUUACCAAGGCGACGAUGCGUAGCCGACCUGAGAGGGUGAUCGGCCACACUGGAACUGAGACACGGUCCAGACUCCUACGGGAGGCAGCAGUAGGGAAUCUUCCGCAAUGGGCGAAAGCCUGACGGAGCAACGCCGCGUGAGUGAUGAAGGUCUUCGGAUCGUAAAACUCUGUUAUUAGGGAAGAACAAAUGUGUAAGUAACUAUGCACGUCUUGACGGUACCUAAUCAGAAAGCCACGGCUAACUACGUG
rnacentral:rRNA from 1 species